rnacentral:rRNA from 1 species
GGUUAAGUGACUAAGCGUACACGGUGGAUGCCUGGGCAGUCAGAGGCGAUGAAGGACGUACUAACUUGCGAUAAGCGCAGAUAAGGCAGUAAGAGCCGUUUGAGUCUGCGAUUUCCGAAUGGGGAAACCCAACUGCAUAAGCAGUUACUGUUAACUGAAUACAUAGGUUAACAGAGCAAACCGGGGGAACUGAAACAUCUAAGUACCCCGAGGAGAAGAAAUCAACCGAGAUUCCGGUAGUAGCGGCGAGCGAACCUGGAUUAGCCCUUAAGCACUCGGUGAAGUAGGUGAACAAGCUGGAAAGCUUGGCGAUACAGGGUGAUAGCCCCGUAACCGACGCUUCAUCGAGCGUGAAAUCGAGUAGGGCGGGACACGUGAUAUCCUGUCUGAAUAUGGGGGGACCAUCCUCCAAGGCUAAAUACUCCUGACUGACCGAUAGUGAACCAGUACCGUGAGGGAAAGGCGAAAAGAACCCCUGUGAGGGGAGUGAAAUAGAACCUGAAACCGUGUACGUACAAGCAGUAGGAGCACCUUCGUGGUGUGACUGCGUACCUUUUGUAUAAUGGGUCAGCGACUUAUAUUCAGUGGCAAGGUUAACCGUAUAGGGGAGCCGUAGCGAAAGCGAGUCUUAACUGGGCGCUCAGUCUCUGGAUAUAGACCCGAAACCGGGUGAUCUAGCCAUGGGCAGGUUGAAGGUUGAGUAACAUCAACUGGAGGACCGAACCGACUAAUGUUGAAAAAUUAGCGGAUGACUUGUGGCUAGGGGUGAAAGGCCAAUCAAACUCGGAGAUAGCUGGUUCUCCCCGAAAGCUAUUUAGGUAGCGCCUCGGACGAAUACUACUGGGGGUAGAGCACUGUUAAGGCUAGGGGGUCAUCCCGACUUACCAACCCUUUGCAAACUCCGAAUACCAGUAAGUACUAUCCGGGAGACACACGGCGGGUGCUAACGUCCGUCGUGGAGAGGGAAACAACCCAGACCGCCAGCUAAGGUCCCAAAGUAUUGCUAAGUGGGAAACGAUGUGGGAAGGCUCAGACAGCUAGGAUGUUGGCUUAGAAGCAGCCAUCAUUUAAAGAAAGCGUAAUAGCUCACUAGUCGAGUCGGCCUGCGCGGAAGAUGUAACGGGGCUAAGCAAUACACCGAAGCUGCGGCAAUGUCUUUUAGA